rnacentral:rRNA from 1 species
UACAGAGGGUGCAAGCGUUGUUCGGAAUUAUUGGGCGUAAAGCGCACGUAGGCGGCUUGCCAAGUCGGACGUGAAAUCCCUCAGCUCAACUGAGGACGUGCAUCCGAAACUGGCGAGCUUGAGUACUGAAGAGGAUCGCGGAAUUCCCGGUGUAGAGGUGAAAUUCGUAGAUAUCGGGAGGAACACCAGUGGCGAAGGCGGCGAUCUGGGCAGAUACUGACGCUGAGGUGCGAAAGCGUGGGGAGCGAACAGG